UCAGGUGUCCUGGGUGAGAAGGUGUGCACAGUGUGGCUGAGCGUUUCAGUCAUCUCUUCCUCUGAAAUGAACUUUCACCUCAAAAUUGGGUGUUUCCGUUUUGAGAGUAUAAAUGCAGAGAGAGAGAGAGAGAGUUUCACUUCUUGUUUCCUAAUAAAAGGAGCUCAUAAUUUGUCUUUUUCAGAUGGUCAGAGAAAAGCUGCAUGAUUCGGGUUAGACUGAUAGGAAGGAAAUAUACAGUAGGAUGCAGAACACACAGGUAAUAUAUUAAGACAACAGUUAAAAGAGAUAGAUGGAUAUUCGAGGUAAUGGGGAAGAACUGUCAGUUCCACAGAAGGAAGUUAGCAAACAUGAUGAUUUAAUGUAGGAAGUAAUGAGAUAAAAUUAAUAAGUCUAACUAAACCAAAAACUGCCAAACAAAGAAAAUCCACUGAUUGAAAAGUAUUUUCCCACAGACAAAGGCUGAAGAGUCACUGUGACACCAUCUGGUUUCCAUGAACAACUUCCUUUUCCAUCUAAGCAAAUAGCAGAGUUAAGACGACACCCAAAUAUCGGUGCUUUGGAAUUGGUGGUGCAGCGUUAUUACCACUAGUGGGUGGGCAACAUGGUGCAAAGGAACUUGUAAUCCCGUGACAGGAGAGCUGGGUACAGUGGUUCUUGUGAAUAGCAACCACAGGAGUAGAGAAACUUCAGUUAUACGUAAUUGAUGAAAUUGCUUAUUAAACUCGUAAAACCUGAAUGAAAUCCUGAUAGAACGCAGACUAAAUACAUUUAGCAAAUACUUGCUUGAAUUCUCUUCAGCACUUCGGUUUGGCCACAUUCACAUCCUUACUCCGUUAUUUGCAAGCAUUUGAGAGCCCACAGCUUUGCUCAGAUUAAUAACCUGCGGCCAGCAGCUCCUCCUUACCGCUAGGAAAUGUGCAGGUCUCUAUGAACAGCUGACGUUUGUUCAUUAGUGACUGAUCAGCUCACAUUCUCCCCAUAGGCUGAAACUGUUUCCAAUGGUAUUUGAUGUUUCUUUGCCAAUCUAUUCCACGAAUGCCUUUCUCAGUAAGGCUGUUCUGCAAAGAAGAUACCAUCUCUAUGGCUACACCACCACUGGCAGUGAAGUAAAAGGAGUCAGGCCUUCUGAUUCCAGUCAAAUUCUAAUAUACACAAAGUAAACAUAGAAUCAUAGAAUGGUCUGGGUUAAAAAGGACCACAAUGAUCAUCUAGUUUCAACCCCCAAAUGAUGCAUCAUUCUCCAUAGGCGCAAACUCACCUAGAAUACACUGGUAGACAAGUAUGUGCUGCAGUUCACGUGUUGCCAGAAGUUUACUGUCAGCUACCUUUGCCCAGAAAAUGUUGUGGCAUAGCUCAGUAACAGAGGCAGUUGUCAUGUUUUCCCACGUUCAAGAGUGGCUAAAGCCGCUGGGUUCCAGCUGGCCCCAGGACAUGGUGUGCAACCCCUUGCUGUGACACAGACAGUCCUUACUUCUGGUAUCAGAGCAAGGGAGCAUCCAGGCUGGUAGAAGCUGGUGGGUUGGUUUGCAUCAGUAUUAUUUACUCAACUUCACUAUAAACCCUUGCUGUUCUUAUACAGGAGACAGUAUGGAAAUACACAGUAUUCCUACACUCCUUCUUUCCUCCUCCCCAGGAAUACCCCGCUUCAUCUUUAAGAAAGAACAGUAAAAGGGAAAAAGCAAAUGGGCACUGCUCCCUUGCAGCACCAUGCCAGCAUAAGCAGUGACGGCACCCACAUUAAAUAUUUUACCAUUAAUGGCUCCAAUAUAAAGCUUUCUGGAUGAUCUAUGGAAGCCCUGCAAUCAGAAGCCUUACAAGUUUUGUUCAGCCACAUUUCCAACUGAUGGCUUUCUGACGAGAGGGGAGGUGUCCUCACUUGUAUCAUCAUAUUUAGAAAUCCAUUUAAGUCCCUUUGAAGUUACUUGAAUGAUCACUUCUGAAAGGUUAUAAAAAAUGCUGCUAAGCCAUAUUUGUUAUUUCUGUGAAGUCUGGAAAGUGUAAAUGCUUAAAUCAUCGACCAAGUGCAUAGCAUUCAUAUUCAGCAUGCUCUUUAAAAGCAUACUUAGCAUACCGCUGAGAGAGAUCACUCUGCUGGUGGAAGUCAAGUGCCCGGAUUAAUUUAAAGGAGUGUAUUUCACAAUCCAUCAUUCCAGAACAGGAGAACAAGGAACUGCUCAGUUAAAUUAAAUGGUGAGUUACUCAGGAACAUAUCAAAGGAAAUCCAUCUCUGCACUGUGUCGAGUUCAGACGGGAAAUCCAGGGCUGACACGACCAAAAGCCG
ensembl:lncRNA